CCUANGGGGGGCAUCAGUGGGGAAUCUUGCACAAUGGAGGAAACUCUGAUGCAGCGACGCCGCGUGGACGACGAAGCCCUUCGGGGUGUAAAGUCCUUUCGACCGGAACGAUAAUGACGGUACCGGUGGAAGAAGCUGCGGCUAACUACGUGCCAGCAGCCGCGGUAAUACGUAGGCAGCAAGCGUUGUUCGGAAUUACUGGGCGUAAAGAGUUCGUAGGCGGUGUGCCAAGUUUAGUGUGAAAUCUCCCGGCUCAACUGGGAGGGUGCGCUGAAUACUGGCAUGCUAGAGUAUAGGAGAGGUAAGCGGAAUUCCUGGUGUAGCGGUGAAAUGUGUAGAUAUCAGGAGGAACACCUGUGGUGUAGACGGCUUACUGGACUAUAACUGACGCUGAGGAACGAAAGCGUGGGUAGCAAACAGGAUUAGAUACCCUGNUANUC
rnacentral:rRNA from 1 species